UGGGUGACCGCGUUUUCCAAGAGGCACUUGG
rnacentral:piRNA from 1 species